rnacentral:lncRNA from 1 species
GAGAAAGAUAAAUAGUCCCUGUCCUCAAAGAGCCCACAUUCUAAGAAGAAAGAGAACAUAAGUAACUAGGUACAGAAAACACAUAUUGUAAAUUUAAGAGGGGAAGGCAUCAACAAUUAGUAGAAACAGGAAAGAUCUUCUCUGGAAGGUAGAAUUUGAGCUGAGUUUUGAUGGAAGCCAAAAAAGGAGGCCUCAUAGGUGUUGGGUGGACUAUUUCAGAAGAGGAAAGCCAUUUUAUAAUUGACAUUUUACAAUUUAUAAUUAUAAUUUUAUAAUCUGUCUUUGAUCAUUCAAACUUGGAAUGAACAUUGAAUUUGGAAUGAGAAGACUUGAAGUUCAAAUUCCACCCGUGUUCCUAGACAAGUUAGCAUCCUCGGCCUCAUUUUUCUCAUCAGUGAAAUUGAAGGGAUUGAUUGAACCAAAUAUUAUCCAACUUAACUCUAAAUCUAUGGUCCAUACUAAGGAGUACAAUAAUUUUGAUUGAGAUUGAAAAGCAAGACAAAGGUCUUCAACUUCAUCAAAUGCAUCUGACCCCUUUCAAUCUUGCUCGUGAAUUGAAUUAUGUGACAACCAAGGACAUUACUGAGAGGCUAAAAAAAUCUUACCACAAUUCUACUUAGCUUUGUAAAAAUUUAACUAAAAGUAGGUUGGAAGCCAUUUAUUAAGCCCUGACUAUGUCCAGGCACUAUAUUAAGCACUGAAGAUACAACUGUAAAAUAAAGGAAACUGAAGGAAAGUAACCACAAGGGCAAGAUGGCCAAGUCUGGAAAGACAAAAGCACAGCCAGGAGGGAAAUCAAUCCUGUCCCCAAAAAUGGAGGGUCCUGGGAAGAAUUCAUUGAUGGGAGAAAAUAGUGUAAUCCUUGAAGUGACUUGAAGGGGAUUCAGACUAGUCACCCAGAGGAAGGAUAGGUAUUAAAUAGAGUUUGGGACCAUAAUUCAAAUAAGAAGUUAAAAUUAGAGACCAAGAGAGGCAGAGGAAGAAAAGGGAUUGAAAAGACAGAUAUAAAUGCUUGAGGGUAUCCUUAGUUAGAUGACUAUCUGGUUGUGGCUGUCCUAGAUCUGAAAUCUCUUGUGACUAUAUGCUAUAGUCGCUAAAAAAUGCCUCUCCCUACAUAGGAAGAGGCUGUAGUUGAAAGUUGACAGAGAAAAGAAUGACUAAACUCUAAAGAGAAAGCAGCUUGCCCAGUGAUAUCACUACACAAUAUUGGAGUCUUUAUAGGAGGAUGAUUAGAAGAAUUGAAGGUGUGAAUUCUUCUAGCCAUUUGUAAUUCUUUGCCAUGUUUCCAUAUAGGAAACAUAUCUCAGUGCAUGUUUUCUGGCUUUGUAUGCUCCUUGGCCCCUAAUUUUCCCUUGUGUUUAUUUCUAAAAUUAUUUUUCUUUGUCAACUAGUCCAUUCUGAGACCCACUGAAAUUCAGCAUAUAGUCGUAUAGCAUGCAAUAUGGUAACCUAUGGAAGUCUUUCAAUUGAUGUAUCUGGAUUUGGGGUUCAAAAAUGAUCACUACACUAUUUUAUGAGUAGCUUAUUCUUCUUUCUAACUGUGGAUUCAAGUUUCAUUAUAAUACUUCCUUAUAUAAUUAGUUAAGCCACACACUCAUGAAAAUCCUACUUGGAUUAAAAGAAAUAUGCCUCUUACUAGCUGGCUUUUUAAACAUUAUUAUAUUUGGUCACUGCCAAAUGGCUGUCAGCUGUUAUUGUUAAGGCUUCUUUUUCAUUGCCUUAUGGAAGCCUCUGAAGAAAAAAUAAAGCAGCAACUCCAAAGUCACUGAGAGCUAGAAAUGAACAAUCCAAAGUUUGUCUAUAAGACAUUCCUUUUAAAAUAAAUUUUUACCAGGUCACAUGAGACACAAGAUUGUUGCCUAAACAUUUCUCCAAUCCCCACAACGUCUCCAAAAUAGAAAUUAUAUGACAAAGAUAAAGCAACUUCAUAUGUCUCCAGAGUCUAGGAUACACAGUGUCCAAAAGAAGGUGUAAAAAAAAAAAAAGCCAGAAAAUAGUAUUCACUAAUUCUGAGAUGAAUCAGCACCUCUUCUCUACCUCCCACACUACUGGAAGCAAGACUGCAUUAGCAGAUCCAAAGAUACAAUAUAGUGAAAAUUUAACCCUACAUUCUUUGUAAUGCCAUAAAGACCCUGAUUCUAGGCUGCAGAAUUUUGUUCAGGGCUCAACAGCCAGCUUGGCCAUAUCACUUCAAGAGCAAAAAUCAACCAGGACCUUCAAAGCUUUGAACUUGUGAUGCCAAGGAAAACAGGCUCUGAAGCUGGCACCAGAUUAAAGACGAGGGAAUAGUGAGAGUGAGAUAGGUAAAGGACACUGUACAUGUAAAGAGAUGUGCAGCACUUCAUAAAGAUUGAGGAGAAAAAACAGAAAAGCCAGUUGGGGCUACAAUUCUGACUAUCCAAAAAUCAUUUGGGGCAGAGACCUAAGUAAACUGUAACUUGCCUAAUGAGAUACUUUGAGAUCCACCUCCCAAGGAAAUCAUAAUCCAAGGGGAGUGAGUCAGGAAAUGAGUAACAAGAAAAAUAGGGGAGGAAAAAAUAUUGAAUGCACCAAAGGUUUCAGGAAAAUUUCAGGAAGAAGACCUUGAACAAACAAAGAUAAAUCAACAGGAAAAAUAGUAACAACAGAAGGAAAUAGAGCCUUCAGAUCUAGUCAAUAAGUUCAGGCCUCUAUGAAUAAAUACUGUAAAAUAUAGGAAAAUGAUUCAACACUAUUUGAAGAGAACAUGGAAUCACAAUACAUUGCUCCUGAAUGAUUUAAAAGAGGAAUCCGAAUUAGGAAGAGCAGUAUUUUUUUAUCCUGUACAUAAAAAUAAUAAGCAAAACACAAAAACUUGAAUCUGAAAUGGCAAGCCUCACCAAAGAAUGAAAAGAGAAAACAAUAGAUUCACGGAACUGAAGUACAAUCUAGAAGAAGGGAAGUAAAAAAACAAGAACAUUAAAAGAAAAUACGCUCACUAUGAAAGCAAAACAUUCUACUCUCAGAAACAGGAUGCACAGAAACAACCCAAGGAUCAUAGGUCUUCCAGACCAACAUUAAUAGGAUAAAACACACACACACACACACACACACACACACCCAAAAAAAAAAAAAAAUAGAAUAAAACACCUUAGCACACAAUGGAGAAAAUAAUAGAACAGAAUGAUUCAAAACUUCUGAACAUGGAAAAUGAAAAUUUAAUUGGAAGGAUUCACAAAAUGCCUCCAGGGAGAAAAAAAAAAAAAAAACAAGACUGCAAACUUCAAGACACCUAAUGCUGAAACAACAAUUCAAGUUCUACAAGCUAUCAGGAGAAAAACUUUCCAAUACAAAUGAAAGAACAUUCAAAUAACUCAAGACUAUUCCACACCCACUGGAAGAAGGAGGGGGGAAUGAAUAAUGUGUUCCUAAAAGCAAUGACAUGCAAGAUACAGCCCAUUGUGACCUAUGCUGAAAAUCUGAACUUAAGCAUAGAGGAUGAAAGUUGGAUGUUCAAUAAUAAAGAUGAGUUUGAAGUAUUUUUAGAAAUAAA